GAGUUUGAUCAUGGCUCAGAUUGAACGCUGGCGGCAUGCCUUACACAUGCAAGUCGAACGGCAGCACGGGAGCUUGCUCCUGGGUGGCGAGUGGCGAACGGGUGAGUAAUGCAUCGGAACGUAUCCUGGAGUGGGGGAUAACGUAGCGAAAGUUACGCUAAUACCGCAUAUUCUGUGAGCAGGAAAGCGGGGGACCUUCGGGCCUCGCGCUCUUGGAGCGGCCGAUGUCGGAUUAGCUAGUUGGUGAGGUAAAGGCUCACCAAGGCGACGAUCCGUAGCAGGUCUGAGAGGAUGAUCUGCCACACUGGAACUGAGACACGGUCCAGACUCCUACGGGAGGCAGCAGUGGGAAUUUUGGACAAUGGGGGCAACCCUGAUCCAGCCAUGCCGCGUGAGUGAAGAAGGCCUCCGGGUUGUAAAGCUCUUUCGCGAGGGAAGAAAUUGCACCGGACAAUACCUGGUGUAGAUGACGGUACCUUGAUAAGAAGCACCGGCUAACUACGUG
rnacentral:rRNA from 1 species